rnacentral:rRNA from 1 species
UGGGGAAUAUUGGACAAUGGGCGCAAGCCUGAUCCAGCAAUGCCGCGUGAGUGAGGAAGGCCUUAGGGUUGUAAAGCUCUUUCGGCGGGGACGAUGAUGACGGUACCCGCAGAAGAAGCCCCGGCUAACUUCGUGCCAGCAGCCGCGGUAAUACGAAGGGGGCGAGCGUUGUUCGGAUUUACUGGGCGUAAAGGGCGCGCAGGCGGCGCAUCAUGUCGAGUGUGAAAGCCCCGGGCUUAACCUGGGAACGGCGCUCGAAACGGGUGGGCUAGAGAUCGGGAGAGGAGCGUGGAAUUCCCAGUGUAGAGGUGAAAUUCGUAGAUAUUGGGAAGAACACCGGUGGCGAAGGCGGCGCUCUGGACCGAGACUGACGCUGAGGCGCGAAAGCGUGGGGAGCAAACAGGAUUAGAUACCCCUGUAGUCC